rnacentral:ncRNA from 2 species
UAUAUUUGCUGCGAUUAUGGUUCUGAUCUUCCAUCCGGAAGAUCGGAUAAUAGGGAACCGGGUUAGAAUCCCGGGCAGUACCCGCUGCUGUGAUCUUCAAAGUUUUCAGGACAACCCUGCCACUGUCAGAUUCUACGGGUAAAAAGCGAAGGACCUUCCUUCGCUGAAACUACGGAGGAAAUGACGGGAAGGCGUUCUGAAAGAAGUAAGCCAGAAGACCUGCCAUAAUAAGUCUGUGUUC